UGGUUUAGCAGCCAGCGUUCCAGUGAAGGAGCAUUUCUCAAAGGCUCUUCACUCAGAGAUGGGGAGCAGGUGUUGCAGUCAGCCCAUAAGAGUUCCUCUCUGCUGCUUCUUCCGCUAAACACUUUUCAGAUAUGUGCAAAGGACGGAAAAGUAAUAAAUCUAUGCUCAUGCAGCAGGAGAGGUGAGUGGAACACAUACAGAACCAUCUCCAGGCACUGCAGACCAUUGCUGAUAUGCUUGAAAGUUGACAUUGUUAAUUUUUCCUCUAGAAAUCAUUGGCUGUUUUUUUUUUCUAGUUAGUUCAGUGGAGGCUUUUAUAAAUAUGUUUUUAAAAUAAUGUUUUUAAAUAAUGCAAUAAUGCUAAAUGCUUAUAAAACACACUCUAAUGACAUCGUUUUAGGUUCUAUGUGUCAGUGUCUGUGUGUAGGUUUUACUCUAAGCACAUACAAAGCAUUCCAGCCAUCAUUAUGCUCCAACUAGAGAAAGUGUUUUUGCAAAAGCCAUGUUGUUAACUUUUAUAGUGUUUAUGAAUUUUCUGAUGCUUUAUAUACGUGUGUGUGUGUGUGUAUGUAAUAUAUAUGAUUUCUCUCUGUAAAGAAGAGUUCACAAAUCUACAUUUCUGAGCUAUUAGUUUUCAGGAAUGUUUUCCUUGCACCUCUAUGGUCACCUAUAUGUGGCAUAAGUUCAGGCUGAUUGCAAUAAAAAGGUGGUACAUUCAUGACA
rnacentral:lncRNA from 1 species